AGAUUCCCCCAGUAGCGGCGAGCGAACGGGGAGGAGCCCAGAGCCUGAAUCAGUGUGUGUGUUAGUGGAAGCGUCUGGAAAGGCGCGCGAUACAGGGUGACAGCCCCGUACACAAAAAUGCACAUGCUGUGAGCUCGAUGAGUAGGGCGGGACACGUGGUAUCCUGUCUGAAUAUGGGGGGACCAUCCUCCAAGGCUAAAUACUCCUGACUGACCGAUAGUGAACCAGUACCGUGAGGGAAAGGCGAAAAGAACCCCGGCGAGGGGAGUGAAAAAGAACCUGAAACCGUGUACGUACAAGCAGUGGGAGCACGCUUAGGCGUGUGACUGCGUACCUUUUGUAUAAUGGGUCAGCGACUUAUAUUCUGUAGCAAGGUUAACCGAAUAGGGGAGCCGAAGGGAAACCGAGUCUUAACUGGGCGUUAAGUUGCAGGGUAUAGACCCGAAACCCGGUGAUCUAGCCAUGGGCAGGUUGAAGGUUGGGUAACACUAACUGGAGGACCGAACCGACUAAUGUUGAAAAAUUAGCGGAUGACUUGUGGCUGGGGGUGAAAGGCCAAUCAAACCGGGAGAUAGCUGGUUCUCCCCGAAAGCUAUUUAGGUAGCGCCUCGUGAAUUCAUCUCCGGGGGUAGAGCACUGUUUCGGCAAGGGGGUCAUCCCGACUUACCAACCCGAUGCAAACUGCGAAUACCGGAGAAUGUUAUCACGGGAGACACACGGCGGGUGCUAACGUCCGUCGUGAAGAGGGAAACAACCCAGACCGCCAGCUAAGGUCCCAAAGUCAUGGUUAAGUGGGAAACGAUGUGGGAAGGCCCAGACAGCCAGGAUGUUGGCUUAGAAGCAGCCAUCAUUUAAAGAAAGCGUAAUAGCUCACUGGUCGAGUCGGCCUGCGCGGAAGAUGUAACGGGGCUAAACCAUGCACCGAAGCUGCGGCAGCGACGCUUAUGCGUUGUUGGGUAGGGGAGCGUUCUGUAAGCCUGUGAAGGUGUGCUGUGAGGCAUGCUGGAGGUAUCAGAAGUGCGAAUGCUGACAUAAGUAACGAUAAAGCGGGUGAAAAGCCCGCUCGCCGGAAGACCAAGGGUUCCUGUCCAACGUUAAUCGGGGCAGGGUGAGUCGACCCCUAAGGCGAGGCCGAAAGGCGUAGUCGAUGGGAAACAGGUUAAUAUUCCUGUACUUGGUGUUACUGCGAAGGGGGGACGGAGAAGGCUAUGUUGGCCGGGCGACGGUUGUCCCGGUUUAAGCGUGUAGGCUGGUUUUCCAGGCAAAUCCGGAAAAUCAAGGCUGAGGCGUGAUGACGAGGCACUACGGUGCUGAAGCAACAAAUGCCCUGCUUCCAGGAAAAGCCUCUAAGCAUCAGGUAACAUCAAAUCGUACCCCAAACCGACACAGGUGGUCAGGUAGAGAAUACCAAGGCGCUUGAGAGAACUCGGGUGAAGGAACUAGGCAAAAUGGUGCCGUAACUUCGGGAGAAGGCACGCUGAUAUGUAGGUGAAGUCCCUCGCGGAUGGAGCUGAAAUCAGUCGAAGAUACCAGCUGGCUGCAACUGUUUAUUAAAAACACAGCACUGUGCAAACACGAAAGUGGACGUAUACGGUGUGACGCCUGCCCGGUGCCGGAAGGUUAAUUGAUGGGGUCAGCGCAAGCGAAGCUCUUGAUCGAAGCCCCGGUAAACGGCGGCCGUAACUAUAACGGUCCUAAGGUAGCGAAAUUCCUUGUCGGGUAAGUUCCGACCUGCACGAAUGGCGUAAUGAUGGCCAGGCUGUCUCCACCCGAGACUCAGUGAAAUUGAACUCGCUGUGAAGAUGCAGUGUACCCGCGGCAAGACGGAAAGACCCCGUGAACCUUUACUAUAGCUUGACACUGAACAUUGAGCCUUGAUGUGUAGGAUAGGUGGGAGGCUUAGAAGUGUGGACGCCAGUCUGCAUGGAGCCGACCUUGAAAUACCACCCUUUAAUGUUUGAUGUUCUAACGUUGACCCGUAAUCCGGGUUGCGGACAGUGUCUGGUGGGUAGUUUGACUGGGGCGGUCUCCUCCUAAAGAGUAACGGAGGAGCACGAAGGUUGGCUAAUCCUGGUCGGACAUCAGGAGGUUAGUGCAAUGGCAUAAGCCAGCUUGACUGCGAGCGUGACGGCGCGAGCAGGUGCGAAAGCAGGUCAUAGUGAUCCGGUGGUUCUGAAUGGAAGGGCCAUCGCUCAACGGAUAAAAGGUACUCCGGGGAUAACAGGCUGAUACCGCCCAAGAGUUCAUAUCGACGGCGGUGUUUGGCACCUCGAUGUCGGCUCAUCACAUCCUGGGGCUGAAGUAGGUCCCAAGGGUAUGGCUGUUCGCCAUUUAAAGUGGUACGCGAGCUGGGUUUAGAACGUCGUGAGACAGUUCGGUCCCUAUCUGCCGUGGGCGCUGGAGAACUGAGGGGGGCUGCUCCUAGUACGAGAGGACCGGAGUGGACGCAUCACUGGUGUUCGGGUUGUCAUGCCAAUGGCACUGCCCGGUAGCUAAAUGCGGAAGAGAUAAGUGCUGAAAGCAUCUAAGCACGAAACUUGCC
rnacentral:rRNA from 1 species